ACAAAAAACGUCCAUGUGUGUGAUAAUAUGGACUGCUUUCAGUGUGCUUUUUGGUCAUUUUUGGAGCUCAACAGAUGUGAUUACUAUGAGCUGUUGUAUAUGCAUGUAGACCUUUUGUGUUCGGUUUGGAAUGACAUGGGGGCUCCUACAGUCACGGAACCUUGGAAGCAGCAGGACUAAAACACACUGCAGAGAGACACUGAUAUCUCAGGAGCCACAGAGAGUCCACAAAACCAACAAAAGGAAUACAAUCCCUGUGCUUAUCUGCUGUAGAAAACACAAAGCUGAAAUAAAUCCCAUCCCAGUCCCUCUGGGAUCAGUUGUUUGUGUCCCACAGCAUUAGCAUUUGAUGCUGUGCUGUUGAUAUCUUUGUUUGAGCGUCUACACAUGCUGAUGGUGUGCAGGUUCUCCGUUAAAGGUUAUUCUGUUUGUCAGACACAUGCAUUCCGGACUCAUGCUGUCCUGUCCACUGACUCAGCCACACCUUUCCAGCCUCAAUGUCGAUAAGUCGAUAGCAUCGGGCCGUGGUGCAAUUAAGACAUUAUUAAACUGUUCAUCAGGCCCUUCUGAACUCCAGACUCACCCGCGGCCUCCCAGCGGUCCCUCCUCAGUGAAAUCCCCAGUCUGUCUGUGAAACCUUGGCUGUGCUCCACACAUCUGUGACCCUCUGUAACCCUGCGCGUCUCCUCUCGUCAGGCUGUGCCCGUCGGGUGUGGAAGUGCCAGGGUAAGUGAAUGAGGAUCUGACAGCUGUAGAAGGGUAGUCAUGUGGGCAGGCAGAGCUCAUCUGCCAUCACUGAGGGGUGAAAAUGUGGCCUGGUGAACCCUUGAGAUUAUCUAGAGCGCUCAGCCAAUCGCUCGCUUCUGAGAAAAGGGCUUUGGGUACACGCCUAGGCUCAUUACUACCGGUUAUGGUGAUUUUAAUGAUCUUUAG